rnacentral:rRNA from 1 species
AGGGAAUCUUCCGCAAUGGGCGAAAGUCUGACGGAGCAACGCCGCGUGAGUGAAGAAGGUCUUCGGAUCGUAAAACUCUGUUGCCGGGGAAGAACAAGUGCCGUUCGAACAGGGCGGCGCCUUGACGGUACCCGGCCAGAAAGCCACGGCUAACUACGUGCCAGCAGCCGCGGUAAUACGUAGGGGGCAAGCGUUGUCCGGAAUUAUUGGGCGUAAAGCGCGCGCAGGCGGCUUCUUAAGUCUGAUGUGAAAUCUUGCGGCUCAACCGCAAGCGGUCAUUGGAAACUGGGAGGCUUGAGUGCAGAAGAGGAGAGUGGAAUUCCACGUGUAGCGGUGAAAUGCGUAGAGAUGUGGAGGAACACCAGUGGCGAAGGCGACUCUCUGGGCUGUAACUGACGCUGAGGCGCGAAAGCGUGGGGAGCAACC